AGAACCUCGGGGGAAGCCAACCGUCAAGGAAAUCUGGAAAAUCUACUUCCUCCAGUGUCCGUGAAAACAUGAACAUACGACUUGCCUAUCACUGUGUACUCAGAGCGUGACACCUUUUGAACAAAGACUUCUGAAGACCCUUGGAAAGAGGCAUGGCCAGCAUCUAUUUCUGUAUCUGCCCUGGGAUUCUACAGAUAUUCUUUGUAACAAAUGUUACAGAAUUAGGUGCCCUGAAAUGCCUGUUUUUAAUUUACAUAAAUAACAACCAUUUUCCUCAAUGUCAUGCUGGUCCUCAUUAAGCAAAUGCAAGCAUUAGUGAUAGUGAAACCCUGUCUGUCAGCUGUUCAAAGUUCACUUUUAGAAAAGAGGGACAAAGGACCCUUAAGAACUUUAAAUUUACUAACAACUUCAUCAUUACUUCAUUCUGUCA